ACUGGGUUUCCAUGUCCAACGUUUAACCGUCCUGUCUUAUUUAAAAAAUUUGUGAAAAAAUUUAAAAAGAUAAGUCACGCAUAAAAUAUUAAUUAUGUUUUAUCAUCUAACAACAAUGAAAAUACUAAUUAUAAAAAAAAAUUUAUAUAAGACGGAUAGUCAAACGUUGGACAUAGAAACAUAGGGUUUGUCUUUUU
rfam:Oryza glaberrima chromosome 3 Oglab03_0146_14, whole genome shotgun sequence.